ensembl:lncRNA
CACUGAGGUCUGUAACCACAUAUAAACCAUGUUUCCCCACCAAACAGUUAGAACUGAUGAAGCUGCUUGGAUGAGCUGCGAAACGUCUUCUAGAAAACUCCACAAGUCCAGACGCCUUGCUUCAAUCUUCUCUACUGAUGCAUGCAAGAAAAAUCUUUAAAAAUGAUGUCAUGUUCAUCUGCUUCAUGUCUGCCAAGUUCCUCCUCCAGAAUCCAUCGAACCCACUCCUCUCUCUGGAAUGUCUGGAAUGUCAUUGAGCAGGUUGAGGAAGCGCUUGUCUAUUUCAACAGGCAACAUCAGAGAAAUGCUACGAAAGGCAUCACACACCACCUGCGGCUUCCUGGACUACUGGAUUACUUGUCUGUGAUCUUAUUCGACUCUUACUGCCCUAACUAUGAGGUAAAAAGGCCCAUUCUGACAGAGGGUAGCUGUGUACCAGGACAUCGUCAAGAAGGAAAUGAAUCUGAACCACACCACUCCACAUAUUUCACCUACACACAGCCAGCCUGGAUUUCCUGGUUACUAUGCACUGAUCCCCUUUGUCCUGCUCAUGCUGAUUGGAUGUAUAGUAGCAGGGGUUGCCUAUAUAAAGAGGAGAGAGAGAUUAGAUGAGCUGCGCCACAGGCUGGUUCCUCUGUAUACCUAUGACCCAGCAGAGGAAGAUGAAGAGUGGAGAGACAAUGGCAGGGAGGACGAGGA